rnacentral:misc_RNA from 1 species
UUUCCGUAGGUGAACCUGCGGAAGGAUCAUUAACGAGUAAUGGUCAUUAUGGCCCAACCCCCAAUCCUUUGCUUAAUUACUAUGUUGCUUUGGCGGUCCCGUUUCACCACAUCCGGAAGUAUCUUGACCACUCGCCUCUGCCCCGCAAGACUCUGCUUCAAUUUCUUGAUCACUUGCGAUGUCUGGGGUAUUAAGGUAAUAAUUAAAACUCUCAACAUCGGAUCUCCUGGUUCUGGCAUUCAUGAAGAACCCAGCAGAUCGGUUGAGCACACGUUUGAU